rnacentral:rRNA from 1 species
UGGGGAAUAUUGCACAAUGGAGGGAACUCUGAUGCAGCGACGCCGCGUGAGUGAUGAAGGAAUUCGUUUCGUAAAACUCUGUUCUAUGGGAAGAAAAGGACUGUACCAUAGGAGAAAGCUCCGGCUAAAUACGUGCCAGCAGCCGCGGUAAUACGUAUGGAGCGAGCGUUGUCCGGAAUUAUUGGGCGUAAAGGGUGCGCAGGCGGCUUUACAAGUUGGAUGUGAAAUAUUGUGGCUCAACCACAAACGUGCAUCCAAAACUGAAAAGCUUGAGUUAAGGAGAGGUAAGUGGAAUUCCUGGUGUAGCGGUGGAAUGCGUAGAUAUCAGGAGGAAUACCGGUGGCGAAGGAGACUUACAAGACUUAAACUGACGCUCAGGCACGAAAGCGUGGGGAGCAAACAGG